GCUUAUUAGGUGAAUUAACUGGUAGAGCCUUUGGCGCGUAACCAAAUGAUCCGGGUUCGAGUCCCGGUCUGGGCU
rnacentral:tRNA from 1 species